GCCAAAGAGAGGACAAGUGAAGGCCCUGUAUGCGUUUCUGUGGGGUAGAAUAAAAGUGGUCAAGAGUUUAAGAUGAGGAGACGUGUUGGUAGAGGUAGGACAGUUUUAAGUCUAUCCGCAUUAAAGCGACCUCCCACCAGCAACGCUGCUUCUGGGAGAGUGGUUUCUUGUUUUUUAUUUAUGGGCCCAUACAGUUCGUUGAGUGCCAGAGAUGUAUUGACUUGUGGAGGGACGUAGACAGCCAUGAUAAUUAUGGAUGAGAACUCUUGGUAGAUAAAAGGGUUUGCAGUUUACCAUGAGGUAUUCUAUAUCAGGUGAGCAAAAGCUCGAGAUUUCCUUCACACUUGAAGCAGCUGUUAUUUAUGAAACAAACACUCCACCUCCUUUUGAAUUCCCAGAAGCCGCCGUUCGAUCCUGCCGCUGCAUGGAGAAUAAACUGAGUACUAAGUGCAUAGCGUCAUCAUUCAGUCACAUCUGAGUAAGACAUAAUAUUGCAGCUUUUCAAGUCUCUGAUGGGAGACUCUCAAACGAAACUCAUCCAUCAUAUUCUUGAGUGACUGGACAUUUGCCAAUAAAAUGGAGGUGAGCGCCGUUCGGUUUUCUCUUCGCCUCAAUUUCACCAGGACUCCAUCUCGUCUCCCGCAUCUACGCAGGGUCCGGUAUGAACAGUGGAACAGCGGAGUCGUAUUUGAAGUCAAAAUCGAGAGCUACGGAAGUCAGAGGACAACAAGAGUGAGGUGUUUCAGGACGAGUCAUGCUCAGACACAGAGGAGCUGGUAGACGAGCCCCAUAACAGUGAUGUGGAGGAUGGGGAGGAGGACGGCACACAGAAUGAGUGUGAAGAUGACGACAUGGUCAGAUUGUGUGUGCUUGUGCUUGCGAGCAUGUGUCCUUGAAGCCUGUAUUGAUUUGGGGUGUGUGUGCAUGUGCACGCAUAUUUGCAAGGGUGGGGGUUAGUGUGUUUGUGUGACCGUGCGUAUGUAAGUUUGUGUGGCUGUGCGUGAAGGCAGUAUGGAUGUGGGCGGAGGUGUGAAGGUAUUUGAGGUCACAUCACACGCUGUCUGAACGAAUGUUUGCUCAACUAUAAGUUCUAUUGCAUGAUAUUACAUUCAAUUCCCUCGGUAGGCACUUACAUUUCUCCUCACGUCAUUUCCCAGGAAAACAACCACCUAUCAGAAAUGGACUCCAUCCUGCAAUAAAAGGCAAGUUGUUCUGAAUGUCGAAAUACUCAAGUGAAGCAAAAACUUUUGAUUGUCACUAAUUACUUGAAAUGUGCAUGGCCACCGGGCAUUUGAAUGAGACAAUAUGUCAGAACAGAACUACUCUGAUGCACAUUCACAGCUGUGCUUUUGAAAGACAGCCUGGUCCAAACAGCAUGGCAGCUAGUCAAUGACUAUAUAAAUGAUGGUAAAUU
rnacentral:lncRNA from 1 species